GGAAUUGUUCGCAAUGGGCGCAAGCCUGACGACGCAACGCCGCGUGGAAGAUGAAGGUCCUCGGAUCGUAAACUCCUGUUGCCAGGGAAGAACGGCUCCGACCUAAUACGUCGGCGAGUGACGGUACCUGGUGAGGAAGCCCCGGCUAACUCUGUGCCAGCAGCCGCGGUAAUACCCAGGGGGCGAGCGUUGUUCGGAAUUACUGGGCGUAAGGGCGCGUAGGCGGCCUGUUAAGUCGGUUGUGAAAUCCCCGGGCUCAACCCGGGAACUGCGUCCGAUACUGGCAGGCUUGAAUCCGGGAGAGGGAUGUGGAAUUCCAGGUGUAGCGGUGAAAUGCGUAGAUAUCUGGAGGAACACCGGUGGCGAAGGCGGCAUCCUGGACCGGCAUUGACGCUGAUGCGCGAAAGCCAGGGGAGCAAAC
rnacentral:rRNA from 1 species